rnacentral:rRNA from 1 species
CGCUAGCGGCUGGCCUCUACAUGCCCGUCGGACGGGCUCCAUCGGAGAGCUUGCUCGUACAUGGUGAGAGUGGCGCACGGGUGCGUAACGCGUGAGCAACCUACCUCUAUCCCGGGGAUAGCCUCUCGAAAGAGAGAUUAACACCGCAUAACAUCAACAGAGAGGCAUGUUCCGUUGAUUAAAUAUUUAUAGGAUAGAGAUGGGCUCCCGUGACAUUAGCUAGUUGGUAGGGUAACGGCCUACCAUGGCUACCAUCUCUAGGGGCUCUGAGAGGAGAAUCCCCCACACUGGUCCUGAGCCUGGAUCAAACUCUAUACGGGGGGGAAUUUUGAACAAUGUGGGAAACCCGGAUCCAGCCUGAACCAGCCAUGCAUGAAUGCCUUCGACUGCCCUAUGGGUUGUGAACUGCUU